ensembl:lncRNA
AUGAUAAACAUUAUGAAUAAAUAUUUUUUCUCAAAAUACUGUAAUACAAAAGUAAAUUUAUUUCAAAAAUAUUUUUUUAAAAAGAAGAAACUUAUGCGAAGAAGAAGUUACAACUCCAUUUUUUGCAACAUAUGCAAUGUUAUUUUUUUUUCGUUAAAUUCUUAUUUCAUAAAGAAAUACAUACUUUCAAAAAACGUUAAUAUAUUUUAUUUAGAAGAUAAAACAAAUGCUUAUUUGGAAAAAAAAUAUAAGACUAAGACUCCGUAUAUAAAAACAGAAAGUGGUAUACUCUAUAAGGACCUAAUAGAUGGAGAAGGAGACCCAAUAGAAGAAGGUGAUAUCGUAUAUAUCCAUUACCAAGGAAAAACAACAAAUGAUUUUCGAAUUAUCCAAUCAACAUUCAAAAGUAUUAUUCCACCUAAAAUUAAAGCUGGGUGUUAUGAUAGAAUGCAUAUACCAGCUAUUUACGAAAUGGUUAUUAAUAUGAAAAAACAUACGAGGAGACAAUGUAUUAUUCCUCCACAUAUGGGUUUACCCAAUCAUUUCCCUAAUCAAGUAAGUCAAAAAAAAAAAAAAAAAAAAAAAAAAAUUAACAAUGAAAGCAGAGUUAGCAAAAUCUUCUUUCGUGCAACUUAAUUCGAAUAUUCCUCAAUUUACUCAAUUUUUUUUUAUUUUUAUUUUAUAGCCCCUUCUUUACGAAAUAGACGUUGUCAGAAUAGUAAAAAAGAACGCACCACAAAAAACACUUUUGGAAAAAAUCAAAGCGCAAAUUGAAUAUUUGAAAAAUAUUAUUUUUACUUUCUUUUAAUUUAUUAUAUACGUCAAUGUAAAAAAUAUAUAUAUAUAUAUAUCUAUUAAGCAUCAUUUAUGUAUCUUUUGGUAUCAUUUGUUUUUAAUUUUUUUUUUUUUUUUUUUUUUAUCACUAAAACAAUUACUUUAUACUGAGCACUUUCUUUCUUGUUUGUCUGCCUAUUUACCAUUUAGACUAUUAUUUCAACUUUUAUCAUUCAUCUUCCACCAAUUCAUUCAUUAUACUUGAUGCAAUGUGGUUUAACUUUUUUUUCUCUUCUACUUUUUUUACACAAUCACCAUUUACAACACCAUUUACAACGCCAUUUUCAACACCAUUUACAACACCAUUUUCAACACCAUUUUCAACACCAUUUUCAACACCAUUUUCAACACCAUUUAAUGUUUUUAUGCACAAAUUGUUAAAAUUAACAUUUAUAUGCGUUAGCCAAUUAUUAACAAUAUGAACAUUUUUUUUCAUUUUCUAUUAAUAUAGCGUAACCGUUUUUAUUUCUUCUUCCUACUCUUCCACAUAAAUGAAUAUAUUCAUUUAUAUUGGCAGGUUUAUUACAUAAAAUUACAAUAUCCAAAUCGUUUAUAUGAAACCCACGAAUGUUAUCAAAUGAACUAAUAACAAUAGGGUAUUUAUUUAAAUACAUAUUUUUAUUUUGUAUUUCUUUUUUUUUUAUUCAUUGUCAUUGUCAUAGUUACAGUUUCAUUUAAAAUUUUUAAUUUUUCAUAAUUUUUACACAUAUUAAAUAAUUGUUUAUUAUUAUCAUUCAACGAUAUUUCUAAUUGUUCAUGUAAUAAUAAAGAAAAUAUAUUAUUUUUAUGUAAAUAUUGU